rnacentral:tRNA from 1 species
GGGUGUAACUCAAUGGUAGAGUGACAGCCUUCCAAGCUGAUUACGAGGGUUCGAUUCCCUUCACCC